GAUGAACGCUAGCGGCAGGCUUAAUACAUGCAAGUCGAGGGGCAGCAGGUCUGUAGCAAUACAGAUGCUGGCGACCGGCAAACGGGUGCGGAACACGUACGCAACCUUCCUUCAAGUGGGGAAUAGCCCAGGGAAACUUGGAUUAAUACCUCGUAAGAUUAUGAAGUGGCAUCACUUUAUAAUUAUAGCUCAGGCGCUUGAAGAUGGGCGUGCGGCNGAUUAGGUAGUUGGCGGAGUAACAGCCCACCAAGCCUGCGAUCAGUAACUGGUGUGAGAGCACGACCAGUCACACGGGCACUGAGACACGGGCCCGACUCCUACGGGAGGCAGCAGUAAGGAAUAUUGGUCAAUGGACGCAAGUCUGAACCAGCCAUGCCGCGUGGAGGAUGAAGGUCCUCUGGAUU
rnacentral:rRNA from 1 species